GCAACUUUUGCUUUUAUAAUCAGAAAAAAGAAAUCAAAGUUAAUUUAGAAAGGAAUUGUACUGCUUUUGAGGAGCACAAGCUUUGGAUACAGAAAGACCUUGAAUUAUAGCCUGCUUUGAACCUCUACGAUCUGUGCAGCAUUGGCUAAACAUUUCUUAGACUCAGAUCUUCAGUUUCACAUCUUUUAAAAGGCAUAAUAACAGAAUGCUUACAGGUUUACCUUGAAAAUAGCUGAGCCUACCUUACGGAGUGCUGGACGUGUGGUAUGUGUUUAGUGCAGGCCAGCUCCCCUCCCCAGUUCAACACAUCCUGAGUGGUAUCCACUGACAUUGAAAGACCAAAAUCAGAUCUUUUUGAGUCUCAUCAAUUCUAUCAAAAAAACCCUCCCCCUUGUGCUCUCAACCUAGGAGGGUCAAGCCAGUGGAAUGGUAAUCAUCUUGUGUGAGUUGUCAGUGCUCUCCUAAGCAUCUGUUACGCAGGAUCACGCUCUUAAGUUUGCCAAAAAUUACCUCAUUGAUAAUGUCUGCUGGAGAUGCUUAGGCAAAACUUGAAAUAGAAAGAUAGUCUUUUGGAAGACAAUUCCCCACAAGUGUAACCCCAAAGAAUGUUGGUUUGGUGACAUGGAACAGCUGGAAAAGUAAGACCACAUCGUUCAAAAGCAUGACAGUACCUCUGCAAAUGAGACGAGAGCUAAAUAUGUGUCUCAGAGAUAGGAAGCUAAAUCAGAACGCAGCAAGAAGACAGCACACAUUCGAGAGAGGAAAAAAUGUGAAAUCUGCUUCUGGCCAUCAGAGGAGCUGAUGCAAUCCCGGCUGACUCGGGGGACAGCCACGGUGCCAGCUACAGAGGCCACAUGGCUUCUAAUGAGGCCAGGCCCAGUUGUAGCUCCGAAGAGUGGGUGAGCCAGCCAAAUUUCACCCAAGGACAGAAGCAGCCUUAACAGCUGUUGACAAGCACUGGCUACCAUCUAUGUGUCAACAAUUGUGUCAUGAGUUUGAGAUGGGCCGACAGCACGUGGAACUCAAAGGAACUUGUUUGGAAUUGAGCCUUGAUUCUGAAAAGAAAGUAUCAGAGGGCAGCAUUUGAACUGGCAUUUAAGGUGUCAACCAGGGGGAAUUUGGUGCCGACCAGUAAAAGGGGAGAAUCAAAAACAGAAGCUCCAUCACCAGGGACAGGGCCAGACUCCUGACUAGAAACUCAGUGGAUGUGCUGAAUCAUUCGGAUACUUUCCAGAAAAUUAUUUUACCUACUCAGAAGGCUGGGCAUCAGCCAAAACUGUCUGGAAAACCACAAGGAAAGACAUUUCCAUGAAGUAACUAGAGUUUUGGGCUUCUACUCUAGAGGAAUAUAAGAGGAACUUUCUUUAAAGAGUAUGCAGGUGGUUCCUUUUAAGCUCACCUGUCUGGUUUUUCAAACAGAUCAAGGGGUGAUGGCAGGGAAACGUCUCCCCUGGAAAUCUCACCCCUCCAUUUGCUAAAGAGAAGGAGCUUCAAUCCCUUGACAGGAUGAUGAAACAAUAAUAAACUGAUGUGACCAAGUCUCAUGCCAGCAGUCCUACCUGUGGCCCACCCUUCUCGUGGCCAACAAUGGCUUUUCUUAAAUAAAUAAAAAUCAAGAUUUGUACCACUCCUGCUGUAAGCUCUUCAGUGGCUCAUGGAUGAAUGAACAGGAUCACCAUUGGCACACAAGUCCCCCCACAGAUCACCUACUCAUCUUUCCACCCCAGCUUUUGCCAUUCUCUCCCCAUCCCACAAAUCCAUUGCCAUCCAAAGAUAAGAAAGAUACCAGAUAGGGCUUCCCAGUUGCAGCAGAGUGGACUGUCUUUACACUGGAGGGCUAUUCUUCCACAAAGAAGUCUUCUCCCCCGUGGGAAGGGAUUGGAGUACUUCUCCUAGGCACUAUGUGAGCAGAUGGUUGAGAAAUGAGCUAGCCCUUGAGCUUCUGCAGCAAGGGAGGGUCCCAUCAUGAGAGCAGAUGGUAUGGGAAAUGCACCAGUUUGGAAUUGGGAGGAACAAGUUUCAGGCCUGACUCAGAUACAGAUACUUGCCAUCAUCAGUAUGCCCUUGAAUGAACUAUAAAGUGUCUCUGAACCUCUGUUGUCUCCUUUGCAGUGUUGAGCCAAGGUUAUAUACCACACAGGGAUUGAGGAAGAGGAAUUAAGGCAGCGUACAUGGAAGUGGCUGGCUCAGUCAUCACUGGCUAAACGCUACUUGAAUUCCAUUCUAAAACUCCACAUAGAAAGGCAAUUUGACAAAAUUUGAUCAUCCCUUCACCCCAAUUAUCACCCCGUGAACUUUUCUUCCAUUUAUCACCCUUGGAUUUCGUAGCUCGGCACACACAGUCUUUCUCCCUCUCUCACUUCUUUCUUUCUCUCCUUUUUUCUUCUUCUGUUAAACCUAAGAAAUUCUAAUGCUGAAGAGGGUUUUCUUAAGGUGAUUCUCCUGGAAAAGAUGACUCUUUAAGCAAAAAUUCAGACUUUCUCUAGAGUGACCGAGACAUGUAGGUGGCGGUAGCAAUACAGGCUGACCUUCCAGCAUGGUCCUGGGAACCACAGGUCAGCUCUGCUGCAGAUGCCCAGACAGCGUGUCUCUUCCUGAAACAAAUCGACUUCCACAUGGCUCUUCUGAAGACUAAGAUGGCCACGUCUAUCUAAUGAACCCAUCCUGCCACCUCCAUUUGGGUCCUGGAAAUGGACCGAGCUCUUUUGUGGUUCCCUGUACAUUUCAGCGUGCAUCUUUAGCUAUGAGAGGUCAUUUGCUGCCAGUUCUGUUGGCUUUAAUGAGUCUCCUGCCUUGGACCUGGAGAGAGAAGUGGGAAAAUGUGAUUCUCAUGCCCAGGCCUGGCCUCCCUGAACUCACUUUUCCCAUUAAGCUUUGACACUGGACCAUGCCUUUGUUGGCAGAGGAGGUUUUUAUGGAUCUUAUGGGGGAUGCACAAUGGAAACUGGAAUUAAACUUGUGUUUCUCUUUUUUCUCUCUCUUUUCCUUGAUUGGGUUUUGACAGAAAUUAUUUGACUGUUUCCUUUUCACAUGGACAGAAUCGAGUAUGUUCUUUCAACGUUAUCCAAACCAUCAUGCUCAAAUGGAAAGGAAAGUUCUGUGAGGUUAAAUGGCAGAGACAUGAUGUCUACAGUAGGAACAAAGCUGCUUAGAUCCUUCCAGACGCUGUAAAUUCCCCUAACAUAAAAGACAAGAGUACAGACUCUGAGGUCAGAGGGACUCACGCCCAAAUCCCUUCCCCACCUCUCACAAGUUACUUAUUCUCUUUGAGUCCUGAUUUUCUCACUGGUCAAAUGGGAAUAAAAAUCCCCUCCUGGGCCGGGCAUGGUGGCUCACGCCUGUAAUCUCAGCACUUUGGGAGGCCGAGGCGGGUGGAUCAGGAGUUUGAGACCAGCCUGAUCAAAAUGGUGAAACCUCGUCUCUACUGAAAAUACAAAAAACUUAGCCAGGUAUGGUGGUGCACACCUGUUAUCCCAGCUACUCAGGAGACUGAGGCAAAAGAACCACUUGAACCCGGGAGGCAGAGGUUGCAG
rnacentral:lncRNA from 1 species